GCUCCAUGAGAGCAGAAAACCCUUAUUUUGUCCGUGAUAUAUAUGCAGAAUAUAUCACGGACAAAAUAAGGAUUUUCUGCUCUCAUGGAGC
rnacentral:pre_miRNA from 1 species